rnacentral:tRNA from 1 species
AUUUAGGUAGCUUAAAUUUUAAAGUUUUACGUUGAAAAUGUAAAGAUGAAUUGUUAUUUCUUAAAUA